rnacentral:rRNA from 1 species
GACGAACGCUGGCGGCGUGCUUAACACAUGCAAGUCGAACGGAAAGGCCCUGCUUUUGUGGGGUGCUCGAGUGGCGAACGGGUGAGUAGCACGUGAGUAACCUGCCCUUGACUUUGGGAUAACUUCAGGAAACUGGGGCUAAUACCGGAUAGGAGCUCCUGCUGCAUGGUGGGGGUUGGAAAGUUUCGGCGGUUGGGGAUGGACUCGCGGCUUAUCAGCUUGUUGGUGGGGUAGUGGCUUACCAAGGCUUUGACGGGUAGCCGGCCUGAGAGGGUGACCGGCCACAUUGGGACUGAGAUACGGCCCAGACUCCUACGGGAGGCAGCAGUGGGGAGUAUUGCACAAUGGGCGGAAGCCUGAUGCAGCAACGCCGCGUGCGGGAUGACGGCCUUCGGGUUGUAAACCGCUUUCGCCUGUGACGAAGCGUGAGUGACGGUAAUGAGUAAAGAAGCACCGGCUAACUACGUG